AAAUUGAAGAGUUUGAUCAUGGCUCAGAUUGAACGCUGGCGGCAGGCCUAACACAUGCAAGUCGAACGGUAACAGGAAGCAGCUUGCUGCUUUGCUGACGAGUGGCGGACGGGUGAGUAAUGUCUGGGAAACUGCCUGAUGGAGAGGGAUAACUACUGGAAACGGUGGCUAAUACCGCAUAACGUCGCAAGACCAAAGAGGGGGACCUUCGGGCCUCUUGCCAUCAGAUGUGCCCAGAUGGGAUUAGCU
rnacentral:rRNA from 1 species